rnacentral:rRNA from 1 species
AGGACGAACGCUGGCGGCGUGCUUAACACAUGCAAGUCGAGCGGAAAGGCCCUUCGGGUACUCGAGCGGCGAACGGGUGAGUAACACGUGAGUAACCUGCCCCAAACUUUGGGAUAACCCUCGGAAACGGGGGCUAAUACCGAAUAUUACUUCUGGUCGCAUGGCUGGUGGUGGAAAGUUUUUCGGUUUGGGAUGGACUCACGGCCUAUCAGCUUGUUGGUGAGGUAAUGGCUCACCGAGGCGAGGACGGGUAG